rnacentral:rRNA from 1 species
UCGAGGAUCUUCGGCAAUGGGCGAAAGCCUGACCGAGCGACGCCGCGUGUGCGAUGAGGGCCUUCGGGUUGUAAAGCACUGUCGGGGGGGAGAAAAGGAAACCUGAUCGACCCCCGGAGGAAGCUCGGGCUAAGUUCGUGCCAGCAGCCGCGGUAAGACGAACCGAGCGAACGUUGUUCGGAAUCACUGGGCUUAAAGGGCGCGUAGGCGGGCGGGAAAGUCAGGGGUGAAAGCCGGCAGCUCAACUGUCGAAGUGCCUCUGAUACUACCCGCCUCGAGGGAGGUAGGGGCGUGCGGAACUUCCGGUGGAGCGGUGAAAUGCGUAGAUAUCGGAGGGAACACCGGUGGCGAAAGCGGCGCGCUGGACCUCUUCUGACGCUGAGGCGCGAAAGCCAGGGGAGCGAACG